AACGUAGGGGACAAGCGUUAUCCGGAUGUACUGGGCGUAAAGCGCAUGUAGGUGGCGCUGAAAGUUGGACGUGAAAGCUCCUGGCUUAACUGGGAGAGGUCGUUCAAAACUACAGUGAUUGAGGUUGGAAGAGGAGAGCGGAAUUCCCGGUGUAGUGGUGGAAUGCGUAGAUAUCGGGAGGAACACCAGUGGCGAAAGCGGUUCUCUGGUUCACACCUGACACUGAGAUGCGAAAGCGUGGGGAGCGAACGGG
rnacentral:rRNA from 1 species